GGGAUAACUACUGGAAACGGUAGCUAAUACCGCAUAACGUCGCAAGACCAAAGAGGGGGACCUUCGGGCCUCUUGCCAUCGGAUGUGCCCAGAUGGGAUUAGCUUGUUGGUGGGGUAACGGCUCACCAAGGCGACGAUCCCUAGCUGGUCUGAGAGGAUGACCAGCCACACUGGAACUGAGACACGGUCCAGACUCCUACGGGAGGCAGCAGUGGGGAAUAUUGCACAAUGGGCGCAAGCCUGAUGCAGCCAUGCCGCGUGUAUGAAGAAGGCCUUCGGGUUGUAAAGUACUUUCAGCGGGGAGGAAGGGAGUAAAGUUAAUACCUUUGCUCAUUGACGUUACCCGCAGAAGAAGCACCGGCUAACUCCGUGCCAGCAGCCGCGGUAAUACGGAGGGUGCAAGCGUUAAUCGGAAUUACUGGGCGUAAAGCGCACGCAGGCGGUUUGUUAAGUCAGAUGUGAAAUCCCCGGGCUCAACCUGGGAACUGCAUCUGAUACUGGCAAGCUUGAGUCUCGUAGAGGGGGGUAGAAUUCCAGGUGUAGCGGUGAAAUGCGUAGAGAUCUGGAGGAAUACCGGUGGCGAAGGCAGCCCCCUGGACGAAGACUGACGCUCAGGUGCGAAAGCGUGGGGAGCAAACAGGAUUAGAUACCCU
rnacentral:rRNA from 1 species